rnacentral:rRNA from 1 species
ACGGCUCAGUAACACGUAGUCAACAUGCCCAGGGGACGUGGAUAACCUCGGGAAACUGAGGAUAAACCGCGAUAAGUCACUACUUCUGGAAUGGGUAAUGACUAAAAUCUACAUGGCCCCUGGAUUGGACUGCGGCCGAUCAGGCUGUUGGUGAGGUAAUGGCCCACCAAGCCUGUAACCGGUACGGGCUCUGAGAGGAGGAGCCCGGAGAUGGGCACUGAGACAAGGGCCCAGGCCCUAUGGGGCGCAGCAGGCGCGAAACCUCUGCAAUAGGCGAAAGCCUGACAGGGUUACUCUGAGUGAUUUCCGUUAAGGAGAUCUUUUGGCACCUCUAAAAAUGGUGCAGAAUAAGGGGUGGGCAAGUCUGGUGUCAGCCGCCGCGGUAAUACCAGCACCCCGAGUGGUCGGGACGUUUAUUGGGCCUAAAGCAUCCGUAGCCGGUUCUACAAGUCUUCCGUUAAAUCCACCUGCUUAACAGAUGGGCUGCGGAAGAUACUAUAGAGCUAGGAGGCGGGAGAGGCAAGCGGUACUCGAUGGGUAGGGGUAAAAUCCGUUGAUCCAUUGAAGACCACCAGUGGCGAAGGCGGCUUGCCAGAACGCGCUCGACAGUGAGGGAUGAAAGCUGGGGGAGCAAACCGGAUUAGAUACCCGGGUAGUCCCAGCUGUAAACGAUGCAGACUCGGUGAUGAGUUGGCUUCUUGCCAACUCAGUGCCGCAGGGAAGCCGUUAAGUUUGCCGCCUGGGGAGUACGGUCGCAAGACUGAAACUUAAAGGAAUUGGCGGGGGAGCAC